CUUAUUCAAGGAAUAAUGAGGCGUGCGCCUCCUAUUCCCUUAUCCAAUUUUAUUUAACAUGUUUUAGUCGGAAGUCGAUAAUUUGUGCAAUAUGGCGUACGCCAAUUAUCCAAAUAAUUGAGAGAUGGUGAGGCGUACGCCUCCCCUCUUUUAUCAUCCGAGGUUUAAAUUGUAAACGAUAUGUUUUUUAGAUAUCGUAUUUGAUUUGUGAAAAUCGUUUGGAUUUGAAUUUGGUAGGUUUGCAUUGAUGACGAAGAUUCGAGCAAUGUGGCGUACGCCAAUUAUUCGAAUAAUCGAAAGAUAGUGAGGCGUACGCCUCCUAUCCUCUUUUCAUCUGAAAUAUGGAAUUAAAAGGAUUUGGAAUUUGUAGUUGAUUUAGAAAAUGAGGUUGGAAUGUAUAUGAUUAAGGUUUUAAUUUGAUGACGAAGAUUCGAGCAAUGUGGCGUACGCCAAUUAUUCGAAUAAUCGAAAGACAGUGAGGCGUACGCCUCCUAUCCUCUUUUCAUCUGAAAUAUGGAAUUUAAAAGGAUUUGGAAAUUGUAGAAAUGUUUUGAAAUAUUAUGAUUUGAAGUGUUGUGGUUUGAAUAAGGUUUUAAUCGGGUGACAAGAACUCGUGUAAUAUGGCGUACGCCAAUUAUUCGAGUAAUUGAGAAAUAGUGAAGCGUACGCCUCCUAUCUCCUUUUCAUCCCACGUUAUAUUUAAGAGAAAAUUCCUUUUUUAGAAGUUGAAUGGUUUGAAAAUUGAUUUGAAUUUAGAAAUUAUAUUGAUUUGAAAAAAUUGAUUUGAAAAAAUUGAUUUGAAAAAAUUGAUUUGAAAUUGUAUGAUUAUUAGGGUUUAGUCGGGUGACAAGAACUCACGCAAUAUGGCGUACGCCAAUUGUUCAAGUGCUUGAGAAAUAGUGAAGCGUACGCUUCCUAUCUCCUUUUCAUCCCAAGCUAUAUUUAAAAGAGAAAAAUCUUUUGAAAUUAUAUUAUAUUUUGAAAAGUGAUUUGAAAUUGUGUUUAAGGAUGUAAUCGGAUGACAAGAACUCGCGCAAUAUGGCGUACGCCAAUUAUUCGAGUAAUUGGGAAAUAGUGAAGCGGAGGCUUACUAUUCUCCUUUUCAUUUAAAGAUUAAAAGUAAAAUACUUAGACAUUUUAAUUAAUUAUGAUGUUCUAAAAUUUGAUUAGAAAUAAUAAUCAAAAUUAAGCUACUGUAAUUAUUUUUUAUAAAACAUACAAAAUAAGAAAUUAAUAAACCAAAGAAUUAGGGGGUAUGGAAAAUGAACAGGGGGUAAAGCCCUAAAAGCUGGCUAGGGUUCGCAAUAGGCCCCAAGGCCCUAAAAUCCUUUUUUAUACUCAGCAACAAAAAUUUGAAAUGGGCCUUAAGCCCAAACUCUUCUAGACUCGCCCAAAAGGUUCCGAGUGAAAGGAAAAAAAAAAAACCCAAAACACUGAGUCCGCGUGACCACGGUCUUCCCCAGGUGGUGGACAACGCGUGCGUCUAGGGAAAUGUUAGCACUUUAUGAUUAAUUAAUUGACCUGCAUCUAGCUAUGAUUCAUACUUUCCAUCAUCAACAUAAUUAAAAUGCAAUUAAAAAACCACCACAAAAACAAAUCUCCACUCUCUUCUCUCAGAUCUUCGACCCUCUCCAUCUCCGAAACAAUGCCAUCAUGUUUUUAACCAAAGUCCUAAGCAAAGAUCUAGCAACAAAUUGAUUCAUCCCUGGUGAACAUCAAAACCGAUCAUACAUACCCAGUUAUCGAUUAUACCCUAAAUCCCAAAUCCCCAAAAAAAUCAAUAACCAACGAAUUGUGCAUGUAUAGAGAAGCAAAGAAGCGUAAGGACUUCAAAUGAUAUAGUCUAAACAAACCGACACACUCAUUCAACAAUUACCAAGUCACUAUAUGCUAUGGUGGAAGUUGAAAUACAAACUCAAUCAUGAACAAAUAACAGUUAUGUUAAAGGUUUCAGCGUGAAGGAAGUAAAUGUGAAAGGAUACCGACAACAAGGAGGUUUGAUCUGCUUCAGAGUACCGGUGCAAAUUUUUUUUCCCCUUUCAAUGAUUAGAGACUCCUUAUUUAUAGAGGAAAUCCAAGGUCCCCAAUAAUGUAUUCAUUGUGAGCUGGCGGAGGAUCCCAAGAAUCAUUCUAUUAGAAUAUCUCAGACUUAGUGGGGGACAAAAAUGAUUGUGGUAAGGCGAGUUUGUUGGUAGUGGAAUCCCUCUAUGAUGCGUGGUCCCUCCAAACAGAAGUGGUCCCAAAGUGAUAAGCAUUAGCGGAAGAGUUUGUUGGUAGUGAAAUCUCUUCGAUGCAGUAAAAUACAUGCUUCCUGUGGUAACGUGAUGCUAUUGCACUCGCAUUUAAGCUGUUACGCAGUCCAUGCCGGUCUGUUGUGGAUUUGUUGGUUCGGCAAGGCUUCUGUCAAGGUUCAGCCCAGGUUUAUGGAAUUGUUCCUUGCCUUUGGUUAUUCCUGUUCGCACGACAACGAUGUCUUUACUUGAUUACCGCUUGUUUUGCUACCAGUGAACCGGUUUCCUUUAAACAGAAAUUUGACGCUUGGGAAUUAAGGACCAACUUCUGCUUACGAUUUCUUGCGACCUGCUUCAAUGUGCCAUUGACAUUUGAGCUUGGUAUUGCAAAACUUGUGUCCUGUAUGUUCCUUGGCUCAUUUAUGGUAUGCAGGCUGCAGCGGGCCUACUGACACGUCUAGCUCCCUGAUAGCUAAUCCUGGUUUACACACAAAUGGUAUGGUUAACUCUCAUCACAGUCCCGUGAUAGCAUUUCCUUACACCAUUUUAAUCAUGACGAACUAUGUGCAUUGGCAGUUUUUAUUGGCUUUCUUCUAUGUACACCUGCAGUUGAUUCACAAGCUCGGUCCUUGUCAUUGACGGCUAGCCAACAAUCUCAGUCCUUGUUGAGACCUCCUAGUCAAUUCUGCAGAAACUGUAGUAACAGGUUUUAUUAUGUGCCUUUUGUCUUGGUUUGUGUACUGAAUCUGCAGCAAGUUUGUAAAGGAAUAGGCCCUGGUUUAAGUGGCAUAUUCAUGUCUUUAAUUCACGUUAUGCAUUUCCAGACUGUAAUGUAGAAUUCACUGUUUUGCCGAAUAUACCGUCCUCAUGAUUAAUGUAAUUUUCUCGUGAUGAAUGACUGGAAAUGGUGGCAUGCUAAGUUAUGUUCCACGGUUUUGCGCAACCUGGUUAUGGUCUUAAGUUCAGAACACUGCCUGGUAUUGUUUCCCCUCUUGCAACAACAUGAAAUCCCACGAUAAUACUGGCCUUUUGGCUUCGGCUAACCUUACUCACUCUAGCUGGUAUAUUAUGUAAUCGGCAUCUGGAUUGCAGUUUGCGGUAUGCUUAUCAGGACGUGUCUCGCGAAUUCUUGGAAUUACUUGAUGAAGAGAGUGCUUUGUAUUGCUCAGCUGCCAUGCUAUUUCACUGCUUGAAUAAUAUUCUCUUGUAUUGCCAACAUGUCUUCAGAUCAUAGGCUAGGACUUCUGUGAACCGUGAAGUUUAAGAAUACAAAUUGUAAACUUAUGCCUUCGCUUGCUGUUUGUAUUAAUGUGGAGCUUCUGCGGUCUUUGCAGGUUGCAGUUUUGGGUUUAUGUUAUACACGUUUGGAUUUGGCUUGCAGCAGGUACUAUACUUAUAGCAAGUGGCGACAACAGAAACAAACCAUGUAUUCAUUUGCCGGUCAGAGUAUGGUGCUGGAGGAUACCCCUGCGGUUCCUAAACGGUUUAUGGAAGCAUAAUGCAGGGAAGGGCAUGGGCGACUGUCAUGACAGGAUGAUGUGUAUUCUUGAUUUUUUUAGAAAAUUAUUUCUUCCAUUUGGCUUGGCUGUAAUAUUAUUCAGAACCUAGGAUUGCUUGUAAUCGAAAACAAUGAUGUAUUUCCAUUAAUGGCAAUUGAAACAAUUAUGUUUGUAAAAAUCCAAAAUUUGUUCAGCUAAUGUAAUUCUACAUUGAUAUUUUUAAACCAUGCCAUAUUGUA